AAAGGAUGUUGGUAGAGUAUUG
rnacentral:miRNA from 1 species